rnacentral:tRNA from 1 species
GACCCGCCGCCUGCUGGUGGGUGCGGUGCUGUCGGCGCCGGUGCUGGUCGCGGUGAUGGCGGUGGAGUUGUUCCAGGCGAUGUGGGUUCCC